rnacentral:rRNA from 1 species
UGGGGAAUAUUGGACAAUGGGGGCAACCCUGAUCCAGCAAUUCUGUGUGCACGAAGAAGGUUUUCGGAUCGUAAAGUGCUUUCAGCAGGGAGGAAGGAAGUGACUGUACCUGCAGAAGAAGCGACGGCUAAAUACGUGCCAGCAGCCGCGGUAAUACGUAUGUCGCAAGCGUUAUCCGGAAUUAUUGGGCAUAAAGGGCAUCUAGGCGGCCCUGUAAGUCUAGGGUGAAAACCUGCGGCUCAACCGCAGGCCUGCCCCGGAAACUACAGGGCUAGAGUAUCGGAGAGGUGGACGGAACUGCACGAGUAGAGGUGAAAUUCGUAGAUAUGUGCAGGAAUGCCGAUGAUGAAGAUAGUUCACUGGACGGUAACUGACGCUGAAGUGCGAAAGCUAGGGGAGCAAACAGGAUUAGAUACCCUGGUAGUCCUAGCUGUAAACGAUGAUUACUGGGUGUGGGCAUGAAGAGUGUCCGUGCCGAAGCAAAUGCGAUAAGUAAUCCGCCUGGGGAGUACGGCCGCAAGGCUG